rnacentral:lncRNA from 1 species
GCCGGCCAAAGAAGAACAAAGGAAGAAAAGAAAGAACAAGAACCCUAGGUGGAGAAUUUCAAGAGAAAAAGUGUGAAAAAUCAAGGAAAACAAGUGAAAAAGGUAGGAUUUCUCAAUUUAAACUCGAAAUCUAUUUUCCUUAAGCAUUUCUCCUUAUUUUUCAUGGUUAAAUUUCAUAUUUUCAUGGUGAAUUCAUGGCUAGCCGAAUAGGUAUGGAGAGAGAAUGAUGUUGGAUUGAUUUGAUUUCAAGUUAUGUUAGUGUUUUGAGUUAGUUUACCAUGUUUAGAAGCAAAACAAUAAGAAAAGAAUUCAUUUUCCCCAUCACCCAUCAAUGGGCGAACCUACCUUGUAUUGAGUGAGGAUGAAUUUGAUUUUUUAUUUUAAGAGAAUUGGUUAGAAAAUGAUGAAUUAUGGUGUGAAAAAGUAGUAGGAAAAAUCACGGUGUUAAUGCACCAUUAUUGACCAAAAAUUCUAAAAAGAAAAAUGAAAAUGGUUUUGCCAAAUUUUAGGCUAUUUGACUUGUGUUUAAUGAUUUGGAGUAUUGGGAGAAAAAUGAAAUUAUUUGGAGUUAAAUUGGACAUAUUGGCCAAUUAAUCGAGAGAUAGAUUGAAUUAGGCCAAUAUCGGGUUUAGAUGGUUACCCGUGCAUUUUGCAUUUCAUAUCAUGCAUUAGUAGUCUAAAUUAGUUUAAUUUCAAUUUAGUACCAAUGUAGUAAGUUUCUCGAUUUUGUACUAUGUCAAGGUGGUGAGUCCUCUGAUAAAGGCAAGGAAAUUGCAUCCAAGGACCAGUAGUCAGAGUACUUCGAAAAUCCUCACUCUAGACAUUGUGAGUAACCUUACUAUCGUCUUAAUUAUCUAAAGUGGUUUUAUCCGAUUUUGUGAAUUUCAUGGAAAAUGAAUUAAAUGAUUAAUUUUUCGAUUUUAUAAACAAAAUAUGAUUUAAUAAAAUGAUUUUAUAAAAUUGUUUUAAAAUUGAAUGAUGGUUUGAAAAUAGAGUAAUUAGAGACUGUUUUUGCGUGUUGUAAAUUCAUGAUUCUAAUUGAUUGGCUUAUGACAAUAUUAGCAUGAAUGGCUGAAUUGGUAUUUGUGUUGAAAUGUAUAAACUGUUGUUUGCCUUGAUAGGCUGGAUAAUGAUAAAAUUGCCAUGUCAUGCGAUUAAAUUUUUAUUGUAUGGUGGGUUUAGCUUGCUGCAAUGGGCUGGUUCUGUGGACUAGCCUAUUAGAGGGGCACGAAACCUGGUCAUAUUUUACCUCAGCUGGAGAGGCGAGUUGGGUAACUCUCGAGGUAUAACUUUAGAGUUCACUUCAUGCCAAACCACCUCGUGAUGAUGAACUCCGCUAACGCCAAGGAACGAUUAUGUUUUUAAAAUAAAAACACGAUUUAUGCAUACAUAACUUUUUAAUAGCCUUGGCGAACUCGAUUGGGAUAGCCCUCGAUCAAGGCAUCCCUGAUAACUGGGUAUAAAAAUGAUUUUUAGCACGAGCCAAAGCUUUUAAGAAAUUCAUAAGCCAUGUUGAUUACUUGAUUUAUAUGAAUUGAUUUUAUUUGAUUGAAAUGAGUUAACAGGUGAUGAAUUACAGUAUAUUAAACUGUUUUAUCUGUCUCCAUUUACUCGGCUUUAGAUAUUUUAGAUAGUAUUUGUUUACUCACUGGAAUUAUAUAAUCUCACCACCCUACUUUCUACCCAUUUCAGGUUCAGGAUAGUUUAUAGAUAGCUGAUUUCAUCGAGGACCACCAUUGGAUUUGCAUCCUCCAAACUGUAGGUUCACAAUUUUUCUUACUUUCGGUUUUUCGAGGGCCCACUUGUUACUGUAAAUUAAAUUAAAUACUCUGGCUUACU